UUUAGUAAAAGAAAAAGAGGUGAAAAGAACAAAGUUUUGUCCAUCUUUGUUCAUCAUAGCCUAAAGUUAGAGAAGAGAAAGGAGAGGAGAAAGCUCUUGAAUGUUCGGUCACUUGGGGAAGAAAAUUGAAGGCGGUUCGUGUGUGGAUCUCGUCAGCAUAUCAUCGCAAACAGAUUUGCGAGUGUGCGAAUGCUUGUGAGGUAAAUCGAUUAAUGUUUUUGGUAAGCUGCAAUGUUUGGACUGCAAAGUGCAUGAUUUCUAUGCCCUCGAUAUUUUUGGGCUUAAUGGGCCAAAAUUGGAAUGAUGGGCCAACAGGCCCAAUUCGGUAAGAACCCUCGGUACGUGAUUCUGUAGUACGUGAAAGGUAGGAAUAUGCAUGAAAAACCCUAAAAUAGAUAAAUUACUGAAAUACCUUUAAAAGUGAAAAAUUUAUAGUUUUACCCUUAGUAGAUAAAUUACCGAAAUACCCCUAGGGUUAAAUUGACCUAAAUGCAUGUUUGACUGUUGUUAUUUACUGCAUGCCAUGUUGUUAUUAUCUGAUGCAUGGGAUUGGGAUAUUGACGGAGG